UACGUAGGCAGCAAGCGUUGUUCGGAGUUACUGGGCGUAAAGAGUAUGUAGGCGGUUGGGUAAGUUUGGUGUGAAAUCUCCCGGCUUAACUGGGAGGGUGCGCUAAAGACUGCCUGGCUCGAGUGUGGGAGAGGAAAGCGGAAUUCCUGGUGGUAGCGGUGAAAUGCGUAGAUAUCAGGAGGAACACCUGCGGUGUAGACGGCUUUCUGGACCAUAACUGACGUGAGAUACGAAAGCGUGGGUAGCAAACAGG
rnacentral:rRNA from 1 species